rnacentral:tRNA from 1 species
GAGGUUAUAGUUCAGUGGUAGAGUGCAUGCCUAGCAUGCACAAGGUCCUGGGUUCAAUCCCUAGUACUUGCA